rnacentral:rRNA from 1 species
UACCAGCUCUCCGAGUGGUAGGGAUGAUUAUUGGGCUUAAAGCGUCCGUAGCCGGCUUAGCAAGUUUCCUGUUAAAUUCAGCGACCUAAUCGUUGAGCCGCGGGAAAUACUACUAGGCUAGGAGGCGGGAGAGGUCGACGGUACUUCUGGGGCAGGGGUGAAAUCCUAUAAUCCCGGGAGGACUACCAGUGGCGAAGGCUGUCGACUAGAACGCGCUCGACGGUGAGGGACGAAAGCUGGGGGAGCGAACCGGAUUAGAUACCCGGGUAGUCCCAGCUGUAAACGAUGCGGGCUAGGUGUUGGGGUGGCUACGUGCCACUUCAGUGCCGCAGGGAAGCCAUUAAGCCCGCCGCCUGGGGAGUACGGCCGCAAGGCUGAAACUUAAAGGAAUUGGCGGGGGAGCUACCACAAGGCGUGAAGCUUGCGGUUC